rnacentral:rRNA from 1 species
AUUGAACGCUGGCGGCAUGCCUUACACAUGCAAGUCGAACGGCAGCACGGGUGCUUGCACCUGGUGGCGAGUGGCGAACGGGUGAGUAAUACAUCGGAACAUGUCCUGUAGUGGGGGAUAGCCCGGCGAAAGCCGGAUUAAUACCGCAUACGAUCUACGGAUGAAAGCGGGGGCCCUUCGGGCCUCGCGCUAUGGGGUUGGCCGAUGGCGGAUUAGCUAGUUGGUGGGGUAAAGGCCUACCAAGGCGACGAUCAGUAGCUGGUCUGAGAGGACGACCAGCCACACUGGAACUGAGACACGGCCCAGACUCCUACGGGAGGCAGCAGUGGGGAAUUUUGGACAAUGGGCGAAAGCCUGAUCCAGCAAUGCCGCGUGUGUGAAGAAGGCCUUCGGGUUGUAAAGCACUUUUGUCCGGAAAGAAAUACUUGGCCCUAAUACGGUCGGGGGAUGACGGUACCGGAAGAAUAAGCACCGGCUAACUACGUG